rnacentral:rRNA from 1 species
GCGUGGGUGAAGAAGGCCUUAGGGUUGUAAAUCCCUUUCAGCGGGGAAGAUAAUGACGGUACCCGCAGAAGAAGCUCCGGCUAACUCCGUGCCAGCAGCCGCGGUAAUACGGAGGGGGCUAGCGUUGUUCGGAAUUACUGGGCGUAAAGCGCACGUAGGCGGGUUGUUAAGUUAGUGGUGAAAUCCCGGGGCUCAACCUCGGAAUUGCCUCUGAUACUGGCAACCUUGAGUCCGGGAGAGGUGAGUGGAAUUCCGAGUGUAGAGGUGAAAUUCGU